GAUGAACGCUAGCGGCAGGCCUAACACAUGCAAGUCGAGGGGUAGAGGAAGCUUGCUUCCUUGAGACCGGCGCACGGGUGCGUAACGCGUAUGCAAUCUACCUUGUACAGAGGAAUAGCCCAGAGAAAUUUGGAUUAAUGCCUCAUAGUAUGUUGAUUUGGCAUCAAGACAACAUUAAAGAUUUAUCGGUACAAGAUGAGCAUGCGUCCCAUUAGUUAGUUGGUAAGGUAACGGCUUACCAAGACGAUGAUGGGUAGGGGUCCUGAGAGGGAGAUCCCCCACACUGGUACUGAGACACGGACCAGACUCCUACGGGAGGCAGCAGUGAGGAAUAUUGGGCAAUGGGCGCAAGCCUGACCCAGCCAUGCCGCGUGCAGGAAGACGGUCCUAUGGAUUGUAAACUGCUUUUAUACGGGAAGAAACACCCCCUCGUGAGGGGGCU
rnacentral:rRNA from 1 species